rnacentral:rRNA from 1 species
UACGGAGGGUGCGAGCGUUGUCCGGAAUCACUGGGCGUAAAGGGCGCGUAGGUGGCGCAGGAAGUCAACGGUGAAAGUUCAGGGCUCAACCCUGAAAUGCCGGUGGAAACUGUCGAGCUAGAGUCCGGAAGAGGCGAGUGGAAUUCCUGGUGUAGCGGUGAAAUGCGCAGAUAUCAGGAGGAACACCAAUGGCGAAGGCAGCUCGCUGGGACGGUACUGACGCUGAGACGCGAAAGCGUGGGGAGCAAACAGG